CACAAUCAUUUUCAGCAGUGGGAACAAGGCGUCCCUCCAAUUUAAUUCUCAAGAUUCUGGAAUCCUAUGAGAAAGUAUCAGCAACUUAUCAACAAAAAUAAGAGCUCAUACUCACUAGCUCUUAAAACACUACAAAGGACCAUUAGAAGAAUUGGAAGGAUCCUGGACAUGAGAUUUGAGAAUCUCCCCCUGGAAUAUUUAGGGUGAAAAGAACUGUUCAAUUUUAAAUAACCAUGAUCUCAGAUCCUCCCCAUGAAACCUCAAGAAUUCCAUUCUUGACCAUCGCGUGAAAUUCGACUGGUUGGAAUGAUGCUGCAAAUUGGCUCUGCAACUCAAUCACUGUUCGAUCUAAGUUUUCCAGAGAAGAGAAGAAAUUUUUACCUGUUAAAGCUCCAACAUCUGUUAUCAAAUUCUGCAUCAUAUCAUGCAAAUCCCCUACUUCUGAAGUUGAAGUUUUAUUGAUUGGGUCUCCACUUGCUCUUGUCUCUUUCUCCAUUGAUGCCAAGGAAUCGUAUAGCUCUGAUAUCACUGAUAGAGGAUUCAAAGGCUAUUUCAGGAUCCUAUCAGAAAGGCUUCAAGAAAAUAAACCACAGAUUAUGGAAGAGAAGAAAUGAUUGAAGAAGAUUGAAUGUAGACAAAAAAUAUGUAUCUAUUCAUAUAUUUACAAUAUUUAUAGUUGCAUACAUUGAAAGAGAUUGAUCUAAAUCUGUUGCUAACUGAAAGCUAACUAAAUUCCUGACUGUGUAUUGUUCAA